CCGGCUCCGCGCCGCCCGCCUGGGGCUGGAGCGAGGCUUGGAGCCCGGAGAGAAUGGCCCGCAACAAAGCCGGCCCCGUGCCGCCCUCCCUGUGUGUCACCCUGCGCGGAGCAGCUGGUUUUUAAAGGCAGAGAAAAGAAAACCCUGCCCCGUGCUACUGCCCUACGAUUCAAGCCGGGGUUUCCAGCCGAGAGACGAGGGCAGGGACAGGGACAGCGGCUCCAGGCCCUGCGUCUGCAGCUCGGGCAGGCGGGAGCUCGAGGCAGAGAGAGAAGGACCAAGGCCUCGCUCGCUCCCUCCCUCGGGGGCCUUGGUAGCAGAAGCAGGAAAGAUGACACACAAACAGGAGUCGACUGACAAGGAGGGAAGAAAACCAUGGCAGCCCGGGAAAGCUGCAGCAGGACAAGCAGUGGGCAAGCCGCGACAGGUGAAAAGCCAGCAAAAUGGGAUCUGAAGGAAAGGGACUCUGGACAGAGCAACCUCCCUGCCUUUAAAUGUCACCCACGUGUCGGCCAAAUUUUGGCUGGGUGAGCCUUUGGGUGUGCUCCCUGGAACUUGGAAAUGGGUCUCUGCCCUUGAUGCUGAUACACUUCUGCAGCAGUCAGGUGGAAGGUGGACAACCCUGUAAGCAAGGCGUGUGUCACCGUUACCUCGUUUGUAAAAGGCUGUGGAUCUGGUUGGCGGUCUUGAGCAGCGCAGCUGCCCUGUAAUCGGGGUCCAGCACAGCUGCCAGACGCGACUGCCAAUGGCGCAGCCUCCUCUAAGCGAGGUGCAUGCUGCUGCCUUCUAGCACGCGAGGACAGGUGAUAUAAAUGUGUGUAGCACUGGACAUCCCUUAACUAGGAGACCAAGUCCACUGCUAUUGCCAGCCAGUCAGAGAGGUGCCCCCCUGUAAGCAGGGUGGGCGUAGCCUCCUUCAGCUGGCGUGAGUGAGACUGGGCAGUCUGCCACACUGUGCAGCAGGACGGCCUUGCAGACAGGAGCCGAGGGUCGUUGGUGACAGCAAACUCUUCAAAAGACAGAGCCUGAUGACCUACCCGUGGCUGGGUUGAAGUUUGUGGCCCCAAACCCUUCUGGUCCCCCGUAGUGAAUUUAUAGAUGGUCACCAGGUCUCCCCUCAGCCUUCUCUUGUGAAGGCUGAACAGGGUCAGGUCCCGUAACCUCUCAUUGUAGGGUCUGCCCUGCUGUCCUCGGAUCAUGCAGGUGGCCCUCCUCUGGACCCUCUCAAUGUUGUCCACAUCCCUUUUGAAGUGGGGUGCUCAGAACUGAACACAGUACCCCAGCUGCAGCCUGACCAGUGUCGCGUAGAGAGGGAGGAUCACCUCCUUGGGCCUAUUUGAGAUGCAUCUGUGGAUGCACGAUAAGGUCCGGUUAGCCCUGCCGACUGUGACUUAGCAUUGUGGGCCCAUGUUCAUCUUGGAAUCAAUGAUAACUACAAGAUCCCUUUCUGCCUCCGUGCUCUCAAGAAUCAAUUCUGAACCCUCCACAGGAAGCUGGGACAUAAAUUGGCAUCACAAACAGGAUUGAGAGGCUCUGGUCCAGAGAAAAAGAUCAGAAUGAAGGGAGUUAUGUGGGCCCCGUUAGUGGCUUUGCUUAAGGAGGUGAUGGGGAUGGAGAAUCCUGGGUGGGAUAAGGAUAGGUUGAGACCUGCCUGUAGUGACCCGGGAACUGUACCCAAUCAUUAGGCUAGGUUUGCUGCUGCUUCCCGGGGUAAACCCAGGAGGGGUGCCUGUUGUGGCUGCUGGCAACAUGCUUGCGGUUAGGGGCCGAAGAGAAUGCCCAGCUCUGGGAAGAGGUCACCUGGCUGAGUAAGGAGUUAAAAGAUGUGAGAAAUUCCAACAGCGUGGUGUGCAAGGCUGUGCGAGCUAUGCAGAGCUGCUUGGAAACAUUAAAAUAGAAGAAAGGAAAAAUUAUGAUCCUGCGCAUGGCCGCUCCCCUCCAGAAGAGAGUGCACUUACCGCAGGCUGUGGAGGGAUCCUCCCACAAGUGUCUAUAUAAAGAUAAACCAGAAGUUGAGCUCUGGGAAAAUCAAAGGGAUAAGAUUAAUGGAGAGAAGGAGAUUUAUAAUGAGCCUGGUGCUGAAACACCCCCAUAUGUUCCUGCCCAGAGAGAGGAACCUAGCCAGGCCUUCCCUGUCCUGAGGGAGAAACUCAGCCAUGUUUUUCCCAUGGUGAUAACUCAUUCAAAGCUGCAAAGAAAGAAUCCCCGAACUGACCUGCAUUCCUUUAUCUGUGCAAAGAUUAAAAAUAUUCAAAGGCAGCAGAAGUCCAAGCCAGGAGAGCCAGUAAUAGACUGGCUACAGUGAAAGGGCAUUUGCAAUUUCAGUGAAUAGAGCCGAAGCAGCCCAAAUGGUUCUGUGCCCUGAGCUCCAGUUAAAUCAGGUUGCAAGAAGUGAUGAAAAUUUUACUUUGUUUUCUGCUGUGCUCCAAGCCACUGCAGCCAGUUAUGCUAAUAUGGAAGAAGAGCUUAACCCUGCCCCUUGGGCAUGGGCCAAUUUAAAAGA